UACAUAUUUUGUUGAGAAGAUAUUAACAAAAGUUGUUCGUCUUGAUAAGGGCUACAACUUUGCUUAAUAUCCUCUUAACAAAUUACGCGUAUUGAAGGAGAUAGCAGUGCGCAUGCGCAGAACGUAACACCUUACGCUUGCAUAUUUUGUUGAGAAGAUAUUAACAAAAGUUGUUCGUCUUGAUGAGUGCUACAACUUUGCUUAAUAUCCUCUUAACAAAUUACGCG
rnacentral:miRNA from 1 species